rnacentral:rRNA from 1 species
UCCGCAAUGGGCGAAAGCCUGACGGAGCAAUACCGCGUGAGGGAUGACGGCCUAUGGGUUGUAAACCUCUUUUUUCAGGGAGGAAUCAAUGACGUGUACCUGAAGAAUAAGCAUCGGCUAACUCCGUGCCAGCAGCCGCGGUAAGACGGAGGAUGCAAGUGUUAUCCGGAAUCACUGGGCGUAAAGCGUCUGUAGGUGGUCUAAUAAGUCAGCUGUUAAAUCUUGAGGCUCAACCUCAAAAUCGCAGUCGAAACUAUUAGACUAGAGUAUAGUAGGGGUAGAGGGAAUUUCCAGUGGAGCGGUGAAAUGCGUAGAGAUUGGAAAGAACACCGAUGGCGAAGGCACUUUACUGGGCUAUUACUGACACUCAGAGACGAAAGCUAGGGUAGCAAAUGGGAUUAGAUACCCC